UUUAUACUUUGGCUAUUUUUUAUGUAACAAAAAUAUAAUGCUGUCUUUUGAGAAAAGAUUUUUGGUUUUCAUUUUCCCUUUGGAUUAAAACAUUGUGUUGCGAGAGCCAAAGUGCUGCGUGGGAGCUCUGUCGUCCUGAGCUGGGUGACUUGAGGCUCUGCAGUCUAGUGUGGUGAGAACUAGGGGACAUGAUUGUUUUGGUGCUCUUGGCUGUGUGUUUAUACUUUCUAAGGUCGGGAACGAGGAUCUACCAAAGAUUGAGAUAAAGUGAGCCGUUCCCACCACCCGGAAGGAAGCUCCCUCGCCACCAUCCCAAGCUCCUAGGGCAGAGAAGCUGAGCAAGUCCCAGAACCCAGAAGGAAGCUCCCCUGCCACCAUUCCAAGCUCCUAGGGCAGAGAAGGUGAUCCAGUCCCAGAACCCAGAAGGAAGCUCCCCUGCCACCAUCCCAAGCUCCUAGGGCAGAGAAGCUGAGCAAGUCCCAGAACCCAGAAGGAAGCUCCCCUGCCACCAUUCCAAGCUCCUAGGGCAGAGAAGGUGAUCCAGUCCCAGAACCCAGAAGGAAGCUCACCCGCCACCAUCCCAAGUCCCUAGGGCAGAGAAGCUGAGCCAGUCCCAAAACCCAGAAGGAAGUUCCCCUGCCACCAUCCCAAGAUCUUAGGGCAGAGAUGGUGAGCCGGUCCCAGAACCCAGAAGGGUGCCAGAAGAACCACCCCCACCAUAGAAAUGAGAAGACACAUAAACAAGCCUCAAAAACAGACUUUUGGAUCACCUACAGCAACCCCAAAGGGAAAUGAGAUAACAAUCUGAUACUCAACCACCUGGACUCUCUGAACUGGCAACAAAAGAGGAUCUGGGAAAAAUGAAAUCAGAAAUAAUUACUCAGAUAACAGCAAAGAUUUUGCUCAUGGUGCAAGACAUGAUUAAUAAAUCUAGAGAGGACAUAGAUAAAAAAAUAGAGGAUCUGAAGAACAUGAUGCACUCCCAACAUAGGAAACAAAUGGAAUCCAUAAAACAGAUGCAAACAGAUUUCCAGGAGAAUAAAAACUCCACUGAAAGUCUGCGCAGCAAAAUGAACCAAUGUGAGGAUUGAAUUUCAGAUAUAGAAGAAAAGAUUGCAAUUAGUGACCAGGAAAAGAAAAAUUGCUUUAAAAUUGUAAGGGAACACAAGAAAUCAAUCCAGCAGCUGCUAGACGAUGCAAAGAAGAGUAACAUAAGACUGAUCGGAGUCAAAGAAGAAAGAGGAGAGGGUGCAGAUGACAUCAAAAAACUAUUCACAGAAGUGAUGGCGGAAAACUUCCCAAGGAAGGGAAAAGAACUUGACAUACAGAUAAGUGAGGCAUAUAGGACUCUAAAUAGCCUUGAUCAAAAAAAAAAAACCCUACACGUAGGCAUAUAAUAGUUAGGAUUCCAGAAAUCCAACAGAAGAACAAAAUUCUACAAGCAGUGAGAGAAAAGAAACAAAUCACAUACAAAGGAAAGCCCAUCAGAAUCACAGCAGACUUCUCAAUGCAAACCCUCAAGGCAAGAAGAGCUUGGAGUGCUGUAUUUCAAGCCCUAAAGGAAAACAGCCUCCAUCCUAGAUUGAUGUACCCUGCAAAACUAUCUUUCAAAAUUGAUGAAGAAAUAAGAUACUUUCAUGAUAAAGAGCACCUCAGGAACUUCAUGAAUACCAAACCAGCACUCCAAAAAAUUUUAGACAAUACCCUAGGAAAAGAAAAUGAGGAUCACAACCCCAGGAAAUCCAGCAGAAUGAAUCCAUUGGGUGUGACAAAUUAAACGCAAAGGGGAGAAUCCAACGAAAAGAAAGAGUCAUGACAAGGCUUUUAAAACUUUGAACUUCAUCUCCCUAAUGAGUGCAUAAUUCAAUCUUGUUUUUGUACUGAUUAGUAUUUUUCUGAUUCUAGAGUUGCACACCUUUCCUUGUGCUGUACUGGCUAUUUAUCAUCUUAUGUCUACUUUUUAAUUAGGUUGUCUAUUAAUGAGCUCUAAGAAUUCUAUAUAUAUUCUGGUCAUAGGUUAUAUGGAC
rnacentral:lncRNA from 1 species